rnacentral:misc_RNA from 1 species
GAUGAAGAACGUAGCGAAAUGCGAUAAGUAGUGUGAAUUGCAGAAUUCAGUGAAUCAUCGAAUCUUUGAACGCACAUUGCGCCCUUUGGUAUUCCUUAGGGCAUGCCUGUUCGAGCGUCAUUUAAACCUUCAAGCUCAGCUUGGUGUUGGGUGACUGUCCGCUUCACCGCGGACUCGCCUCAAAAUUAUUGGCGGCCGGUACAUUGGCUCUCGAGCGCAGCAGAAACGCGUAACUCGAGGUCCUCGUGCUGGCUCCCAGAAGCUAUCUUCACAAUUUUGACCUCGGAUCAGGUAGGGAUACCCGCUGAACUUAAGCAUAUCAAAAGCGGAGGA